GACCGUGUCAUCUGAGUGGUUAUCGUUUAACGGCAAAAGAGAGGGUGGUCACCAGGGUGGCAAUGGACAAGAGAGCAUUGUCAUGCCUGUCAAUGGGGUUCUCACUGGAGAUGUUGGAUUUGUGGAGCUUAGCCAGGGUCGAGGAGAGCUCGUCGGUGUGGUGAACCAUAGGUGGGGGACGUAGUGAAUCGAUCGAGGUGAUCUCUUUUAGAGAAUAGCAAUAAUUUUGUCUCUUAAAUUACAAAUGAUCCCACCGGAUAUUGAAGAAA
rnacentral:lncRNA from 1 species